CCCCAACACCCCAAAUAUAUUUUUUUUCAUUUUUCAUUUUUAUUUGGUCUAACUAACUCCAAAAGGUUGGAAAAGAGAUCCUACAAAGGUUUUGGACAGUGAUUUUAACCCUAACGCCAAAAACCUUAAACCUUACCCUAGCCCCAACUCUUAAUACCCGGGUAUUACCUUCAGGAAGCCCAAACACCCCAAAUAUAUUUUUUUUCAUUUUUCAUUUUUAUUUGGUCUAACUAACUCCAAAAGGUUGGAAAAGAGAUCCUACAAAGGUUUUGGACAGUGAUUUUAACCCUAACGCCAAAAACCUUAAACCUUACCAUAGCCCCAAAACUUAUACCCGGGUAUUACCUUCAGGAAGCCUGAACACCCCAAAUAUAUUUUUUUUAUUUUUUUAUUUUAUUUGGUGUAACCAACUCCAAAAGGUCUGAAACAUGUUCCUAAAUAGGUUUUGGACAGUGAUUUUAACCCUAACGCCAAAAACCUUAAACCUUACCCUAGCCCCAAAACCUAAUACCUGGGUAUUACCUUCAGGAAGCCCAAACACCCCAAAUAUUUUUUUUUCAUUAUUCAUUUUUAUUUGGUCUAACUAACUCCAAAAGGUUGGAAAAGAGUUCCUACAAAGGUUUUGGACAGUGAUUUUAACCCUAACGCCAAAACCUUAAACCUUACCCUAGCCCCAAUUCUUAAUACCCGGGUAUUACCUUCAGGAAGCCCUAACACCCCAAAUAUAAAUAUAUUUUUUUAAAUUUUUUUUGGUCUAACUAUCUCCAAAAGGUUGGAAAAGAGUUACUGCAAAGGUUUUGGACAGUCAUUUUAACCGCAACGCCAAAAACCUUAAAACUUCCCCUAGCCCCAAAACCUAAUAUUAUUAAAGUAUUACCUUCAGGAAGCCCGAAAACCCCAAAUAUUUUUUUUUUCAUUUUUUGUUUUUUUCGGUCUAACUAACUCCAAAAUGGUUGUAAAAUUUUUACUACAAAGGUUUUGGACAGUGUUUUUAACCCUAACGCCAAAAACCUUAAACCUUCCCUUAGCCCCUAAACCUAAUACCUGGGUAUUACCUUCAGGAAGCCCGAACACCCCAAAUAUUUAUUUUUUAUUUUUUAUUUUUAUUUGGUGUAACCAACUCCAAAAGGUCUGAAACAUGUUCCUAAAUAGGUUUUGGACAGUGAUUUUAACCCUAACGCCAAAAACCUUAAACCUUACCCUAGCCCCAAAACCUAAUAGUAUUACCUUCAGGAAGCCCGAAAACCCCAAAUAUUUCUUUUUCAUUUUUCAUUUCUUUUUGGUCUAACUAACUCCAAAAGGUUGGAAAAGAGUUCCUACAAAGGUUUUGGACAGUGAUUUUAACCCUAACGCCAAAAACCUUAAACCUUACCCUAGCCACAAAACCUAAUACCCAUGUAUUAUCUUCAGGAAGCCCGAACACCACAAAUAUUUUUUUUUCAUUUUUCAUUUCUUUUUGGUCAAACUAACUCCAAAAGCUUGGAAAAGAGUUCCUACAAAGGUUUUGGACAGUGAUUUUAACCCUAACGCCAAAAACCUUAAACCUUACCCUAGCCCCAAAACCUAAUACCCGGGUAUUACCUUCAGGAAGCCCGAACACCCCAAAUAUAUUUUUUUUAUUUUUUAUUUUUAUUUGGUGUAACCAACUCCAAAAGGUCUGAAACAUGUUCCUAAAUAGGUUUUGGACAGUGAUUUUAACCCUAACGCCAAAAACCUUAAACCUUCCCCUAGCCCCAAAACCUAAUACCCGGGUAUUACCUUCAGGAAUCCCUAAAAACCCCAAAUAUUUUUUUUUCAUUUUUCAUUUCUUUUUGGUCUAACUAACUCCCAAAGCUUGGAAAAUAGUUCCUACAAAGGUUUUGGACAGUGAUUUUAACCCUAACGCCAAAAACCUUAAACCUUACCCUAGCCCCAAAACCUAAUACCCGUGCAUUAUCUUCAGGAAGCCAAAACAAGCCAAAUAUUUUUUUUUCAUUUUUCAUUUUUAUUUGGUCUAACUAACUCCAAAUGGUUGGAAAAGAGUUCCUACAAAGGUUUUGGACAGUGAUUUUAACCCUAACGCCAAAAACCUUAAACCUUUCCCUAGCCCCAAAACCUAAUACCCGUGUAUUAUCUUCAGGAAGCCCGAACACCACAAAUAUUUUUUUUUCAUUUUUCAUUUCUUUUUGGUCUAACUAACUCCAAAAGGUUGGAAAAGAGUUCCUACAAACGUUUUGGACAGUGAUUUAAACCCUAACGCCAAAACCUUAAACCUUACCCUAGCCCCAACUCUUAAUACCCGGGUAUUACCUUCAGGAAGCCCAAACACCCCAAAUAUAUUUUUUUUCAUUUUUCAUUUUUAUUUGGUCUAACUAACUCCAAAAGCUUGGAAAACAGUUCCUACAAAGGUUUUGGACAGUGAUUUAAACCCUAACGCCAAAACCUUAAACCUUACCCUAGCCCCAACUCUUAAUACCCGGGUAUUACCUUCAGGAAGCCCAAACACCCCAAAUAUUUUUUUAUUUUUUUUUAUUUUUAUUUGGUGUAACCAACUCCAAAAGGUCUGAAACAUGUUCCUAAAUAGGUUUUGGACAGUCAUUUUAACCCUAACGCCAAAAACCUUAAACCUUACCCUAGCCCCAAAACCUAAUAUUAUUAAAGUAUUACCUUCAGGAAGCCCGAAAACCCCAAAUAUUUUUUUUUUUCAUCUUUCUUUUUUUUUGGUCUAACUAACUCCCAAAGCUUGGAAAAUAGUUCCUACAAAGGUUUUGGACAGUGAUUUUAACCCUAAUGCCAAAAACCUUAAACCUUACCCUAGCCCCAACUCUUAAUACCCGGGUAUUACCUUCAGGAAGCCCAAACACCCCAAAUAUUUUUUUUUCAUUUUUCAUUUUUAUUUGGUCUAACUAACUCCAAAAGGUUGGAAAACAGUUCCUACAAAGGUUUUGGACAGUGAUUUUAACCCUAACGCCAAAACCUUAAACCUUACCCUAGCCCCAAUUCUUAAUACCCGGGUAUUACCUUCAGGAAGCCCUAACACCCCAAAUAUAAAUAUAUUUUUUUAAAUUUUUUUUGGUCUAACUAUCUCCAAAAGGUUGGAAAAGAGUUACUACAAAGGUUUUGGACAGUCAUUUUAACCGCAACGCCAAAAAACCUUAAAACUUCCCCUAGCCCCAAAACCUAAUAUUAUGCAAGUAUUACCUUCAGGAAGCCCGAAAACCCCAAAUAUUUUUUUUUUCAUUUUUUGUUUUUUUCGGUCUAACUAACUCCAAAAUGUUGGAAAAGAGUUACUACAAAGGUUUUGGACAGUGAUUUUAACCCUAACGCCAAAAACCUUAAACCUUCCCUUAGCCCCUAAACCUAAUACCUGGGUAUUACCUUCAGGAAGCCAGAACACCCCAAAUAUAUAUAUAUAUUUUUUCAUUUUUCAUUUGGUCUAACUAACUCCCAAAGGGUUGGAAAAGAGUUCCUACAAAGGUUUUGGACAGUGAUUUUAACCCUAACGCCAAAAAAACCUAAACCUUACCAUAGCCCCAAAACCUAAUUCCCGGGUAUUACCUUCAGGAAGCCCGAACCCCCUAAAUAUAUAUUUUUUUAUUUUUCAUUUGUUUUUGGUCUAACUAACUUCAAAAGGUUGGAAAAGAGUUCCUACAAAGGUUUUGGACAGUGUUUUUAACCCUAAUGCCAAAAACCUUAAACCUUACCCUAGCCCCAAAACCUAGUAGUAUUACCUUCAGGAAGCCCGAAAACCCCAAAUUCUUCUUUUUCAUUUUUCAUUUUUUUUGGUCUAACUAACUCCAAAAGGUUGGAAAAGAGUUCCUACAAAGGUUUUGGACAGUGAUUUUAACCCUAACGCCAAAAACCUUAAACCUUUCCCUAGCCACAAAACCUAAUACCCGUGUAUUAUCUUCAGGAAGCCCGAACACCACAAAUAUUUUUUUUUCAUUUUUCAUUUUUUUUGGUCUUACUAACUCCAAAAGGUUAGAAGAGUUCCUACAAACGUUUUGGACAGUGAUUUAAACCCUAACACCAAAACCUUAGACCUUACCCCAGCCCCAAAUCUUAAUACCCGGGUAUUACCUUCAGGAAGCCCGAACACCCCAAAUAUUUUUUUUUCAUUUUUCAUUUUUAUUUGGUCUAACUAACUCCAAAUGGUUGGAAAAGAGUUCCUACAAAGGUUUUGGACAGUGAUUUUAACCCUAACGCCAAAAACCUUAAACCUUUCCCUAGCCCCAAAACCUAAUACCCGUGUAUUAUCUUCAGGAAGCCCGAACACCACAAAUAUAUUUUUUUUCAUUUUUCAUUUCUUUUUGGUCUAACUAACUCCAAAAGCUUGGAAAAUAGUUCCUACAAAGGUUUUGGACAGUGAUUUAAACCCUGACGCCAAAACCUUAAACCUUACCCUAGCCCCAAAUCUUAAUACCUGGGUAUUACCUUCAGGAAGCCCAAACACCCCAAAUAUUUUUUUUUCAUUUUUCUUUUUUUUUGGUCUAACUAACUCCAAAAGGUUGGAAAAGAGUUACUACAAAGGUUUUGGACAGUGAUUUAAACCCUAACGCCAAAACCUUAAACCUUACCCUAGCCCCAAGUCUUAAUACCCGGGUAUUACCUUCAGGAAGCCCCAACACCCCAAAUAUAUUUUUUUCAUUUUUCAUUUUUAUUUGGUCUAACUAACUCCAAAAGGUUGGAAAAGAGAUCCUACAAAGGUUUUGGACAGUGAUUUUAACCCUAACGCCAAAAACCUUAAACCUUACCCUAGCCCCAACUCUUAAUACCCGGGUAUUACCUUCAGGAAGCCCAAACACCCCAAAUAUAUAUAUUUUUUCAUUUUUCAUUUUUAUUUGGUCUAACUAACUCCAAAAGGUUGGAAAAGAGAUCCUACAAAGGUUUUGGACAGUGAUUUUAACCCUAACGCCAAAAACCUUAAACCUUACCAUAGCCCCAAAACUUAUACCCGGGUAUUACCUUCAGGAAGCCUGAACACCCCAAAUAUAUUUUUUUAAUUUUUUUAUUUUAUUUGGUGUAACCAACUCCAAAAGGUCUGAAACAUGUUCCUAAAUAGGUUUUGGACAGUCAUUUUAACCCUAACGCCAAAAACCUUAAACCUUACCCUAGCCCCAAAACCUAAUACCUGGGUAUUACCUUCAGGAAGCCCAAACACCCCAAAUAUUUUUUUUUCAUUAUUCAUUUUUAUUUGGUCUAACUAACUCCAAAAGGUUGGAAAAGAGUUCCUACAAAGGUUUUGGACAGUGAUUUUAACCCUAACGCCAAAACCUUAAACCUUACCCUAGCCCCAAUUCUUAAUACCCGGGUAUUACCUUCAGGAAGCCCUAACACCCCAAAUAUAAAUAUAUUUUUUUAAAUUUUUUUUGGUCUAACUAUCUCCAAAAGGUUGGAAAAGAGUUACUGCAAAGGUUUUGGACAGUCAUUUUAACCGCAACGCCAAAAAACCUUAAAACUUCCCCUAGCCCCAAAACCUAAUAUUAUUAAAGUAUUACCUUCAGGAAGCCCGAAAACCCCAAAUAUUUUUUUUUUCAUUUUUUGUUUUUUUCGGUCUAACUAACUCCAAAAUGUUGGAAAAGAGUUACUACAAAGGUUUUGGACAGUGAUUUUAACCCUAACGCCAAAAACCUUAAACCUUCCCUUAGCCCCUAAACCUAAUACCUGGGUAUUACCUUCAGGAAGCCCGAACACCCCAAAUAUUUAUUUUUUAUUUUUUAUUUUUAUUUGGUGUAACCAACUCCAAAAGGUCUGAAACAUGUUCCUAAAUAGGUUUUGGACAGUGAUUUUAACCCUAACGCCAAAAACCUUAAACCUUACCCUAGCCCCAAAACCUAAUAGUAUUACCUUCAGGAAGCCCGAAAACCCCAAAUAUUUCUUUUUCAUUUUUCAUUUUUUUUGGUCUAACUAACUCCAAAAGGUUGGAAAAGAGUUCCUACAAAGGUUUUGGACAGUGAUUUUAACCCUAACGCCAAAAACCUUAAACCUUUCCCUAGCCACAAAACCUAAUACCCAUGUAUUAUCUUCAGGAAGCCCGAACACCACAAAUAUUUUUUUUUCAUUUUUCAUUUCUUUUUGGUCAAACUAACUCCAAAAGCUUGGAAAAGAGUUCCUACAAAGGUUUUGGACAGUGAUUUUAACCCUAACGCCAAAAACCUUAAACCUUACCAUAGCCCCAAAACUUAUACCCGGGUAUUACCUUCAGGAAGCCCGAACACCCCAAAUAUAUUUUUUUUAUUUUUUAUUUUUAUUUGGUGUAACCAACUCCAAAAGGUCUGAAACAUGUUCCUAAAUAGGUUUUGGACAGUCAUUUUAACCCUAACGCCAAAAACCUUAAACCUUCCCCUAGCCCCAAAACCUAAUACCCGGGUAUUACCUUCAGGAAUCCCUAAAAACCCCAAAUAUUUUUUUUUCAUUUUUCAUUUCUUUUUGGUCUAACUAACUCCCAAAGCUUGGAAAAUAGUUCCUACAAAGGUUUUGGACAGUGAUUUUAACCCUAACGCCAAAAACCUUAAACCUUACCCUAGCCCCAAAACCUAAUACCCGUGCAUUAUCUUCAGGAAGCCAAAACAAGCCAAAUAUUUUUUUUUCAUUUUUCAUUUUUAUUUGGUCUAACUAACUCCAAAUGGUUGGAAAAGAGUUCCUACAAAGGUUUUGGACAGUGAUUUUAACCCUAACGCCAAAAACCUUAAACCUUUCCCUAGCCCCAAAACCUAAUACCCGUGUAUUAUCUUCAGGAAGCCCGAACACCACAAAUAUUUUUUUUUCAUUUUUCAUUUCUUUUUGGUCUAACUAACUCCAACAGGUUGGAAAACAGUUCCUACAAACGUUUUGGACAGUGAUUUAAACCCUAACGCCAAAACCUUAAACCUUACCCUAGCCCCAACUCUUAAUACCCGGGUAUUACCUUCAGGAAGCCCAAACACCCCAAAUAUUUUUUUUUCAUUUUUCAUUUUUAUUUGGUCUAACUAACUCCAAAAGGUUGGAAAACAGUUCCUACAAAGGUUUUGGACAGUGAUUUAAACCCUAACGCCAAAACCUUAAACCUUACCCUAGCCCCAACUCUUAAUACCCGGGUAUUACCUUCAGGAAGCCCAAACACCCCAAAUAUAUUUUUUUUCAUUUUUCAUUUUUAUUUGGUCUAACUAACUCCAAAAGCUUGGAAAACAGUUCCUACAAAGGUUUUGGACAGUGAUUUUAACCCUAACGCCAAAACCUUAAACCUUGCCCUAGCCCCAACUCUUAAUACCCGGGUAUUACCUUCAGGAAGCCCAAACACCCCAAAUAUUUUUUUAUUUUUUUUUAUUUUUAUUUGGUGUAACCAACUCCAAAAGGUCUGAAACAUGUUCCUAAAUAGGUUUUGGACAGUCAUUUUAACCCUAACGCCCAAAACCUUAAACCUUACCCUAGCCCCAAAACCUAAUAUUAUUAAAGUAUUACCUUCAGGAAGCCCGAAAACCCCAAAUAUUUUUUUUUUCAUCUUUCUUUUUUUUUUGUCUAACUAACUCCAAAAGGUUGGAAAAGAGGUACUACAAAGGUUUUGGACAGUGAUUUAAACCCUAACGCCAAAACCUUAAACCUUACCCUAGCCCCAACUCUUAAUACCCGGGUAUUACCUUCAGGAAGCCCAAACACCCCAAAUAUAUAUUUUUUCAUUUUUCAUUUUUAUUUGGUCUAACUAACUCCAAAAGGUUGGAAAAGAGUUCCUACAAAGGUUUUGGACAGUGAUUUUAACCCUAACGCCAAAAACCUUAAACCUUACCAUAGCCCCAAAACGUAUACCCGGGUAUUACCUUCAGGAAGCCCGAACACCCCAAAUAUAUAUAUUUUUUUUUUAUUUUUAUUUGGUGUAACCAACUCCAAAAGGUCUGAAACAUGUUCCUAAAUAGGUUUUGGACAGUCAUUUUAACCCUAACGCCAAAAAAUCUUAAACCUUACCCUAGCCCCAAAACCUAAUAGUAUUACCUUCAGGAAGCCCGAAAACCCCAAAUAUUUUUUUUUCAUUUUUCUUUUUUUUUGGUCUAACUAACUCCAAAAGCUUGGAAAAGAGAUCCUACAAAGGUUUUGGACAGUGAUUUUAACCCUAACGCCAAAAACUUUCAACCUUUCCCUAGCCCCAUAACCUAAUACCCGGGUAUUACCUUCAGGAAGCCCGAACACCCCAAAUAUUUUUUUUUCAUUUUUCUUUUUUUUUUGGUCUAACUAACUCCAAAAGCUUGGAAAAGAGAUCCUACAAAGGUUUUGGACAGUGAUUUUAACCCUAACGCCAAAAACCUUAAACCUUACCAUAGCCCCAAAACCUAAUACCCGUGCAUUAUCUUCAGGAAGCCAAAACAAGCCAAAUAUUGUUUUUUUUUCAUUUUUAUUUGGUCUAACUAACUCCAAAAGGUUGGAAAACAGUUCCUACAAAGGUUUUGGACAGUGAUUUAAACCCUAACGCCAAAACCUUAAACCUUACCCUAGCCCCAACUCUUAAUACCCGGGUAUUACCUUCAGGAAGCCCAAACACCCCAAAUAUAUAUUUUUUCAUUUUUCAUUUUUAUUUGGUCUAACUAACUCCAAAAGGUUGGAAAAGAGUUCCUACAAAGGUUUUGGACAGUGAUUUAAACCCUAACGCCAAAACCUUAAACCUUACCCUAGCCCCAACUCUUAAUACCCGGGUAUUACCUUCAGGAAGCCCAAACACCCCAAAUAUAUUUUUUUUAUUUUUUAUUUUUAUUUGGUGUAACCAACUCCAAAAGGUCUGAAACAUGUUCCUAAAUAGGUUUUGGACAGUCAUUUUAACCCUAACGCCAAAAACCUUAAACCUUACCCUAGCCCCAAAACCUAAUAGUAUUACCUUCAGGAAGCCCGAAAACCCCAAAUAUUUUUUUUUCAUUUUUCUUUUUUUUUGGUCUAACUAACUCCAAAAGCUUGGAAAAGAGAUCCUACAAAGGUUUUGGACAGUGAUUUUAACCCUAACGCCAAAAACUUUAAACCUUUCCCUAGCCCCAUAACCGAAUACCCGGGUAUUACCUUCAGGAAGCCUGAACACCCCAAAUAUUUUUUUUUCAUUUUUCUUUUUUUUUGGUCUAACUAACUCCAAAAGCUUGGAAAAGAGAUCCUACAAAGGUUUUGGACAGUGAUUUUAACCCUAACGCCAAAAACCUUAAACCUUACCAUAGCCCCAUAACCUAAUACCCGUGCAUUAUCUUCAGGAAGCCAAAACAAGCCAAAUAUUGUUUUUUUUCAUUUUUAUUUGGUCUAACUAACUCCAAAAGGUUGGAAAACAGUUCCUACAAAGGUUUUGGACAGUGAUUUAAACCCUAACGCCAAAACCUUAAACCUUACCCUAGCCCCAACUCUUAAUACCCGGGUAUUACCUUCAGGAAGCCCAAACACCCCAAAUAUAUAUUUUUUCAUUUUUCAUUUUUAUUUGGUCUAACUAACUCCAAAAGGUUGGAAAACAGUUCCUACAAAGGUUUUGGACAGUGAUUUAAACCCUAACGCCAAAACCUUAAACCUUACCCUAGCCCCAACUCUUAAUACCCGGGUAUUACCUUCAGGAAGCCCAAACACCCCAAAUAUAUUUUUUUUCAUUUUUCAUUUUUAUUUGGUCUAACUAACUCCAAAAGGUUGGAAAAGAGUUCCUACAAAGGUUUUGGACAGUGAUUUAAACCCUAACGCCAAAAACGUUAAACCUUACCAUAGCCCCAAAACUUAUACCCGGGUAUUACCUUCAGGAAGCCCAAACACCCCAAAUAUUUUUUUUUUUCAUUUUUCUUUUUUUUUGGUCUAACUAACUCCAAAAGGUUGGAAAAGAGUUCCUACAAAUGUUUUGGACAGUGAUUUAAACCCUAACGCCAAAACCUUUAACCUUACCCUAGCCCCAAAUCUUAAUACCCGGGUAUUACCUUCAGGAAGCCCAAACACCCCAAAUAUAUUUUUUUUCAUUUUUCAUUUUUAUUUGGUGUAACUAACUCCAAAAGGUUGGAAAAGAGUUCCUACAAAGGUUUUGGACAGUGAUUUUAACCCUAACGCCAAAAACCUUAAACCUUACCAUAGCCCCAAAACUUAUACCCGGGUAUUACCUUCAGGAAGCCCGAACACCCCAAAUAUUCUUUUUUCCUUUUUUUCUUUUUUUUUGGUCUAACUAACUCCAAAAGCUUGGAAAAGAGAUCCUACAAAGGUUUUGGACAGUCAUUUUAACCCUAACGCCAAAAACCUUAAACCUUCCCCUAGCCCCAAAACCUAAUACCCGGGUAUUACCUUCAGGAAGCCCGAACACCCCAAAUAUUUUUUUUUCAUUUUUCUUUUUUUUUGGUCCAACUAACUCCAAAAGCUUGGAAAAGAGAUCCUACAAAGGUUUUGGACAGGGAUUUAAACCCUAACGCCAAAACCUUAAACCUUACCCUAGCCCCAACUCUUAAUACCCGGGUAUUACCUUCAGGAAGCCCAAACACCCCAAAUAUAUUUUUUUUCAUUUUUCAUUUUUAUUUGGUCUAACUAACUCCAAAAGGUUGGAAAAGAGUUCCUACAAAGGUUUUGGACAGUGAUUUAAACCCUAACGCCAAAAACGUUAAACCUUACCAUUGCCCCAAAACUUAUACCCGGGUAUUACCUUCAGGAAGCCCAAACACCCCAAAUAUUUUUUUUUUCAUUUUUCUUUUUUUUUGGUCUAACUAACUCCAAAAGGUUGGAAAAGAGUUACUACAAAGGUUUUGGACAGUGAUUUAAACCCUAACGCCAAAACCUUUAACCUUACCCUAGCCCCAACUCUUAAUACCCGGGUAUUACCUUCAGGAAGCCCAAACACCCCAAAUAUAUUUUUUUUCAUUUUUCAUUUUUAUUUGGUGUAACUAACUCCAAAAGGUUGGAAAAGAGUUCCUACAAAGGUUUUGGACAGUGAUUUUAACCCUAACGCCAAAAACCUUAAACCUUACCAUAGCCCCAAAACUUAUACCCGGGUAUUACCUUCAGGAAGCCCGAACACCCCAAAUAUUUUUUUUUCAUUUUUCUUUUUUUUUGGUCUAAAUAACUCCAAAAGCUUGGAAAAGAGAUCCUACAAAGGUUUUGGACAGUCAUUUUAACCCUAACGCCAAAAACCUUAAACCUUACCCUAGCCCCAACUCUUAAUACCCGGGUAUUACCUCCAGGAAGCCCAAACACCCCAAAUAUUUUUUUUUCAUUUUUCUUUUUUUUUGGUCUAACUAACUCCAAAAGCUUGGAAAAGAGAUCCUACAAAGGUUUUGGACAGUGAUUUUAACCCUAACGCCAAAAACCUUAAACCUUACCAUAGCCCCAUAACCUAAUACCCGUGCAUUAUCUUCAGGAAGCCAAAACAAGCCAAAUAUUGUUUUUUUCAUUUUUAUUUGGUCUAACUAACUCCAAAAGGUUGGAAAAGAGUUCCUACAAACGUUUUGGACAGUGAUUUAAACCCUAACGCCAAAACCUUUAACCUUACCCUAGCCCCAAAUCUUAAUACCCCGGUAUUACCUUCAGGAAGCCCAAACACCCCAAAUAUUUUUUUUUUCAUUUUUCAUUUUUAUUUGGUCUAACUAACUCCCAAAGGUUGGAAAACAGUUCCUACAAAGGUUUUGGACAGUGAUUUUAACCCUAACGCCAAAAACCUUAAACCUUUUCCUAGCCCCAAAACUUAAUACCCGUGUAUUAUCUUCAGGAAGCCCGAACACCACAAAUAUUUUUUUUUCAUUUUUCAUUUCUUUUUGGUCUAACUAACUCCAAAAGGUUGGAAACGAGUUCCUACAAACGUUUUGGACAGUGAUUUAAACCCUAACGCCAAAACCUUAAACCUUACCCUAGCCCCAAAUCUUAAUACCCGGGUAUUACCUUCAGGAAGCCCAAACACCCCAAAUAUUUUUUUUUCAUUUUUCAUUUUUAUUUGGUCUAACUAACUCUAAAAGGUUGGAAAACAGUUCCUACAAAGGUUUUGGACAGUGAUUUAAACCCUAACGCCAAAACCUUAAACCUUACCCUAGCCCCAACUCUUAAUACCCGGGUAUUACCUUCAGGAAGCCCAAACACCCCAAAUAUAUUUUUUUUCAUUUUUCAUUUUUAUUUGGUCUAACUAACUCCAAAAGGUUGAAAAACAGUUCCUACAAAGGUUUUGGACAGUGAUUUAAACCCUAACGCCAAAACCUUAAACCUUACCCUAGCCCCAACUCUUAAUACCCGGGUAUUAUCUUCAGGAAGCCAAAACACCCCAAAUAUUUUUUUUUUAUUUUUUAUUUUUAUUUGGUGUAACCAACUCCAAAAGGUCUGAAACAUGUUCCUAAAUAGGUUUUGGACAGUGAUUUUAACCCUAACGCCAAAAACCUUAAACCUUACCCUAGCCCCAAAACCUAAUAGUAUUACCUUCAGGAAGCCCGAAAACCCCAAAUAUUUCUUUUUCAUUUUUCAUUUUUUUUGGUCUAACUAACUCCAAAAGGUUGGAAAAGAGUUCCUACAAAGGUUUUGGACAGUGAUUUUAACCCUAACGCCAAAAACCUUAAACCUUUCCCUAGCCACAAAACCUAAUACCCAUGUAUUAUCUUCAGGAAGCCCGAACACCACAAAUAUUUUUUUUUCAUUUUUCAUUUCUUUUUGGUCAAACUAACUCCAAAAGCUUGGAAAAGAGUUCCUACAAAGGUUUUGGACAGUGAUUUUAACCCUAACGCCAAAAACCUUAAACCUUACCAUAGCCCCAAAACUUAUACCCGGGUAUUACCUUCAGGAAGCCCGAACACCCCAAAUAUAUUUUUUUUAUUUUUUAUUUUUAUUUGGUGUAACCAACUCCAAAAGGUCUGAAACAUGUUCCUAAAUAGGUUUUGGACAGUCAUUUUAACCCUAACGCCAAAAACCUUAAACCUUCCCCUAGCCCCAAAACCUAAUACCCGGGUAUUACCUUCAGGAAUCCCUAAAAACCCCAAAUAUUUUUUUUUCAUUUUUCAUUUCUUUUUGGUCUAACUAACUCCCAAAGCUUGGAAAAUAGUUCCUACAAAGGUUUUGGACAGUGAUUUUAACCCUAACGCCAAAAACCUUAAACCUUACCCUAGCCCCAAAACCUAAUACCCGUGCAUUAUCUUCAGGAAGCCAAAACAAGCCAAAUAUUUUUUUUUCAUUUUUCAUUUUUAUUUGGUCUAACUAACUCCAAAUGGUUGGAAAAGAGUUCCUACAAAGGUUUUGGACAGUGAUUUUAACCCUAACGCCAAAAACCUUAAACCUUAGCCCCAAAACCUAAUACCCGUGUAUUAUCCUUCAGGAAGCCCGAACACCACAAAUAUUUUUUUUUCAUUUUUCAUUUCUUUUUGGUCUAACUAACUCCAACAGGUUGGAAAACAGUUCCUACAAACGUUUUGGACAGUGAUUUAAACCCUAACGCCAAAACCUUAAACCUUACCCUAGCCCCAACUCUUAAUACCCGGGUAUUACCUUCAGGAAGCCCAAACACCCCAAAUAUUUUUUUUUCAUUUUUCAUUUUUAUUUGGUCUAACUAACUCCAAAAGGUUGGAAAACAGUUCCUACAAAGGUUUUGGACAGUGAUUUAAACCCUAACGCCAAAACCUUAAACCUUACCCUAGCCCCAACUCUUAAUACCCGGGUAUUACCUUCAGGAAGCCCAAACACCCCAAAUAUAUUUUUUUUCAUUUUUCAUUUUUAUUUGGUCUAACUAACUCCAAAAGCUUGGAAAACAGUUCCUACAAAGGUUUUGGACAGUGAUUUAAACCCUAACGCCAAAACCUUAAACCUUACCCUAGCCCCAACUCUUAAUACCCGGGUAUUACCUUCAGGAAGCCCAAACACCCCAAAUAUUUUUUUAUUUUUUUUUAUUUUUAUUUGGUGUAACCAACUCCAAAAGGUCUGAAACAUGUUCCUAAAUAGGUUUUGGACAGUCAUUUUAACCCUAACGCCCAAAACCUUAAACCUUACCCUAGCCCCAAAACCUAAUAUUAUUAAAGUAUUACCUUCAGGAAGCCCGAAAACCCCAAAUAUUUUUUUUUUUCAUCUUUCUUUUUUUUUAGUCUAACUAACUCCAAAAGGUUGGAAAAGAGUUACUACAAAGGUUUUGGACAGUGAUUUAAACCCUAACGCCAAAACCUUAAACCUUACCCUAGCCCCAACUCUUAAUACCCGGGUAUUACCUUCAGGAAGCCCAAACACCCCAAAUAUAUUUUUUUUCAUUUUUCAUUUUUAUUUGGUCUAACUAACUCCAAAAGGUUGGAAAAGAGUUCCUACAAAGGUUUUGGACAGUGAUUUUAACCCUAACGCCAAAAACCUUAAACCUUACCAUAGCCCCAAAACUUAUACCCGGGUAUUACCUUCAGGAAGCCCGAACACCCCAAAUAUAUUUUUUUUAUUUUUUAUUUUUAUUUGGUGUAACCAACUCCAAAAGGUCUGAAACAUGUUCCUAAAUAGGUUUUGGACAGUCAUUUUAACCCUAACGCCAAAAAAUCUUAAACCUUACCCUAGCCCCAAAACCUAAUAGUAUUACCUUCAGGAAGCCCGAAAACCCCAAAUAUUUUUUUUUCAUUUUUCUUUUUUUUUGGUCUAACUAACUCCAAAAGCUUGGAAAAGAGAUCCUACAAAGGUUUUGGACAGUGAUUUUAACCCUAACGCCAAAAACUUUAAACCUUUCCCUAGCCCCAUAACCUAAUACCCGGGUAUUACCUUCAGGAAGCCCGAACACCCCAAAUAUUUUUUUUUCAUUUUUCUUUUUUUUUGGUCUAACUAACUCCAAAAGCUUGGAAAAGAGAUCCUACAAAGGUUUUGGACAGUGAUUUUAACCCUAACGCCAAAAACCUUAAACCUUACCAUAGCCCCAAAACCUAAUACCCGUGCAUUAUCUUCAGGAAGCCAAAACAAGCCAAAUAUUGUUUUUUUUUCAUUUUUAUUUGGUCUAACUAACUCCAAAAGGUUGGAAAACAGUUCCUACAAAGGUUUUGGACAGUGAUUUAAACCCUAACGCCAAAACCUUAAACCUUACCCUAGCCCCAACUCUUAAUACCCGGGUAUUACCUUCAGGAAGCCCAAACACCCCAAAUAUAUAUUUUUUCAUUUUUCAUUUUUAUUUGGUCUAACUAACUCCAAAAGGUUGGAAAACAGUUCCUACAAAGGUUUUGGACAGUGAUUUUAACCCUAACGCCAAAAACCUUAAACCUUACCCUAGCCCCAACUCUUAAUACCCGGGUAUUACCUUCAGGAAGCCCAAACACCCCAAAUAUAUUUUUUUUAUUUUUUAUUUUUAUUUGGUGUAACCAACUCCAAAAGGUCUGAAACAUGUUCCUAAAUAGGUUUUGGACAGUCAUUUUAACCCUAACGCCAAAAACCUUAAACCUUACCCUAGCCCCAAAACCUAAUAGUAUUACCUUCAGGAAGCCCGAAAACCCCAAAUAUUUUUUUUUCAUUUUUCUUUUUUUUUGGUCUAACUAACUCCAAAAGCUUGGAAAAGAGAUCCUACAAAGGUUUUGGACAGUGAUUUUAACCCUAACGCCAAAAACUUUAAACCUUUCCCUAGCCCCAUAACCGAAUACCCGGGUAUUACCUUCAGGAAGCCCGAACACCCCAAAUAUUUUUUUUUCAUUUUUCUUUUUUUUUGGUCUAACUAACUCCAAAAGCUUGGAAAAGAGAUCCUACAAAAGGUUUUGGACAGUGAUUUUAACCCUAACGCCAAAAACCUUAAACCUUACCAUAGCCCCAAACCUAAUACCCGUGCAUUAUCUUCAGGAAGCCAAAACAAGCCAAAUAUUGUUUUUUUUUCAUUUUUAUUUGGUCUAACUAACUCCAAAAGGUUGGAAAACAGUUCCUACAAAGGUUUUGGACAGUGAUUUAAACCCUAACGCCAAAACCUUAAACCUUACCCUAGCCCCAACUCUUAAUACCCGGGUAUUACCUUCAGGAAGCCCAAACACCCCAAAUAUAUUUUUUUUCAUUUUUCAUUUUUAUUUGGUCUAACUAACUCCAAAAGGUUGGAAAAGAGUUCCUACAAAGGUUUUGGACAGUGAUUUAAACCCUAACGCCAAAAACGUUAAACCUUACCAUUGCCCCAAAACUUAUACCCGGGUAUUACCUUCAGGAAGCCCAAACACCCCAAAUAUUUUUUUUUUCAUUUUUCUUUUUUUUGGUCUAACUAACUCCAAAAGGUUGGAAAAGAGUUCCUACAAAGUUUUGGACAGUGAUUUAAACCCUAACGCCAAAACCUUAAACCUUACCCUAGCCCCAAAUCUUAAUACCCGGGUAUUACCUUCAGGAAGCCCAAACACCCCAAAUAUAUUUUUUUUCAUUUUUCAUUUUUAUUUGGUGUAACUAACUCCAAAAGGUUGGAAAAGAGUUCCUACAAAGGUUUUGGACAGUGAUUUUAACCCUAACGCCAAAAACCUUAAACCUUACCAUAGCCCCAAAACUUAUACCCGGGUAUUACCUUCAGGAAGCCCGAACACCCCAAAUAUUCUUUUUUCAUUUUUCUUUUUUUUUGGUCUAACUAACUCCAAAAGCUUGGAAAAGAGAUCCUACAAAGGUUUUGUACAGUCAUUUUAACCCUAACGCCAAAAACCUUAAACCUUCCCCUAGCCCCAAAACCUAAUACCCGGGUAUUACCUUCAGGAAGCCCGAACACCCCAAAUAUUUUUUUUUCAUUUUUCUUUUUUUUUGGUCCAACUAACUCCAAAAGCUUGGAAAAGAGAUCCUACAAAGGUUUAGGACAGUGAUUUUAACCCUAACGCCAAAAACUUUAAACCUUACCCUAGCCCCAACUCUUAAUACCCGGGUAUUACCUUCAGGAAGCCCAAACACCCCAAAUAUAUAUUUUUUCAUUUUUCAUUUUUAUUUGGUCUAACUAACUCCAAAAGGUUGGAAAAGAGUUCCUACAAAGGUUUUGGACAGUGAUUUAAACCCUAACGCCAAAAACGUUAAACCUUACCAUAGCCCCAAAACUUAUACCCGGGUAUUACCUUCAGGAAGCCCGAACACCCCAAAUAUUUUUUUUUCAUUUUUCUUUUUUUUUGGUCUAACUAACUCCAAAAGCUUGGAAAAGAGAUCCUACAAAGGUUUUGGACAGUCAUUUUAACCCUAACGCCAAAAACCUUAAACCUUACCCAAGCCCCAAAACCUAAUACCCGGGUAUUACCUUCAGGAAGCCCGAACACCCCAAAUAUUUUUUUUUCAUUUUUCUUUUUUUUUGGUCUAACUAACUCCAAAAGCUUGGAAAAGAGAUCCUACAAAGGUUUUGGACAGUGAUUUUAACCCUAACGCCAAAAACCUUAAACCUUACCAUAGCCCCAUAACCUAAUACCCGUGCAUUAUCUUCAGGAAGCCAAAACAAGCCAAAUAUUGUUUUUUUCAUUUUUAUUUGGUCUAACUAACUCCAAAAGGUUGGAAAACAGUUCCUACAAAGGUUUUGGACAGUGAUUUAAACCCUAACGCCAAAACCUUAAACCUUACCCUAGCCCCAACUCUUAAUACCCGGGUAUUACCUUCAGGAAGCCCAAACACCCCAAAUAUAUUUUUUUUCAUUUUUCAUUUUUAUUUGGUCUAACUAACUCCAAAAGGUUGGAAAACAGUUCCUACAAAGGUUUUGGACAGUGAUUUAAACCCUAACGCCAAAACCUUAAACCUUACCCUAGCCCCAAAUCUUAAUACCCGGGUAUUACCUUCAGGAAGCCCAAACACCCCAAAUAUUUUUUUUUCAUUUUUCAUUUUUAUUUGGUCUAACUAACUCCCAAAGGUUGGAAAAGAGAUCCUACAAAGGUUUUGGACAGUGAUUUUAACCCUAACGCCAAAACCUUAAACCUUACCCUAGCCCCAACUCUUAAUACCCGGGUAUUACCUUCAGGAAGCCCAAACACCCCAAAUAUAUUUUUUUUCAUUUUUCAUUUUUAUUUGGUGUAACUAACUCCAAAAGGUUGGAAAAGAGUUACUACAAAGGUUUUGGACAGUGAUUUUAACCCUAACGCCAAAAACCUUAAACCUUACCCCAGCCCCAUAACCUAAUACCCGGGUAUUACCUUCAGGAAGCCCAAACACCCCAAAUAUAUUUUUUUUCAUUUUUCAUUUUUAUUUGGUGUAACUAACUCCAAAAGGUUGGAAAAGAGUUCCUACAAAGGUUUUGGACAGUGAUUUUAACCCUAACGCCAAAAACCUUAAACCUUACCAUAGCCCCAAAACUUAUACCCGGGUAUUACCUUCAGGAAGCCCGAACACCCCAAAUAUUUUUUUUUCAUUUUUCAUUUCUUUUUGGUCUAACUAACUCCCAAAGCUUGGAAAAUAGUUCCUACAAAGGUUUUGGACAGUGAUUUUAACCCUAACGCCAAAAACCUUAAACCUUACCCUAGCCCCAAAACCUAAUACCCGUGCAUUAUCUUCAGGAAGCCAAAACAAGCCAAAUAUUUUUUUUUCAUUUUUCAUUUUUAUUUGGUCUAACUAACUCCAAAUGGUUGGAAAAGAGUUCCUACAAAGGUUUUGGACAGUGAUUUUAACCCUAACGCCAAAAACCUUAAACCUUUCCCUAGCCCCAAAACCUAAUACCCAUGUAUUAUCUUCAGGAAGCCCGAACACCACAAAUAUUUUUUUUUCAUUUUUCAUUUCUUUUUGGUCUAACUAACUCCAAAAGGUUGGAAAAGAGUUCCUACAAACGUUUUGGACAGUGAUUUAAACCCUAACGCCAAAACCUUAAACCUAACCCUAGCCCCAAAUCUUAAUACCCGGGUAUUACCUUCAGGAAGCCAAAACACCCCAAAUAUUUUUUUUUCAUUUUUCAUUUUUAUUUGGUCUAACUAACUCCAAAAGGUUGGAAAACAGUUCCUACAAAGGUUUUGGACAGUGAUUUUAACCCUAACGCCAAAAACCUUAAACCUUACCAUAGCCCCAAAACCUAAUACCCAUGUAUUAUCUUCAGGAAGCCCGAACACCACAAAUAUUUUUUUUUCAUUUUUCAUUUCUUUUUGGUCUAACUAACUCCAAAAGGUUGGAAAAGAGUUCCUACAAAGGUUUUGGACAGUGAUUUUAAACCUAACGCCAAAAACCUUAAACCUUACCAUAGCCCCAAAACUUAUACCCGGGUAUUACCUUCAGGAAGCCCGAACACCCCAAAUAUAUUUUUUUUAUUUUUUAUUUUUAUUUGGUGUAACCAACUCCAAAAGGUCUGAAACAUGUUCCUAAAUAGGUUUUGGACAGUCAUUUUAACCCUAACGCCAAAAACCUUAAACCUUCCCCUAGCCCCAAAACCUAAUACCCGGGUAUUACCUUCAGGAAUCCCGAAAACCCCAAAUAUUUUUUUUUCAUUUUUCAUUUCUUUUUGGUCUAACUAACUCCCAAAGCUUGGAAAAUAGUUCCUACAAAGGUUUUGGACAGUGAUUUUAACCCUAACGCCAAAAACCUUAAACCUUCCCCUAGCCCCAAAACCUAAUACCCGUGCAUUAUCUUCAGGAAGCCAAAACAAGCCAAAUAUUUUUUUUUCAUUUUUCAUUUUUUUUUGGUCUAACUAACUCCAAAAGGUUGGAAAAGAGUUCCUACAAACGUUUUGGACAGUGAUUUAAACCCUAACGCCAAAACCUUAAACCUUACCCUAGCCCCAAAUCUUAAUACCCGGGUAUUACCUUCAGGAAGCCCAAACACCCCAAAUAUUUUUUUUUUCAUUUUUCAUUUUUAUUUGGUCUAACUAACUCCCAAAGGUUGGAAAACAGUUCCUACAAAGGUUUUGGACAGUGAUUUAAACCCUAACGCCAAAACCUUAAACCUUACCCUAGCCCCAACUCUUAAUACCCGGGUAUUACCUUCAGGAAGCCCAAACACCCCAAAUAUAUUUUUUUUCAUUUUUCAUUUUUAUUUGGUCUAACUAACUCCAAAAGGUUGGAAAAGAGUUCCUACAAAGGUUUUGGACAGUGAUUUAAACCCUAACGCCAAAAACGUUAAACCUUACCAUAGCCCCAAAACUUAUACCCGGGUAUUACCUUCAGGAAGCCCAAACACCCCAAAUAUUUUUUUUUUUCAUUUUUCUUUUUUUUUGGUCUAACUAACUCCAAAAGGUUGGAAAAGAGUUACUACAAAGGUUUUGGACAGUGAUUUUAACCCUAACGCCAAAAACCUUAAACCUUACCCCAGCCCCAUAACCUAAUACCCGGGUAUUACCUUCAGGAAGCCCGAAAACCCCAAAUAUUUUUUUUUCAUUUUUCAUUAAUUUUUGGUCUAACUAACUCCAAAAGGUUGGAAAAGAGUUCCUACAAAUGUUUUGGACAGUGAUUUAAACCCUAACGCCAAAACCUUUAACCUUACCCUAGCCCCAACUCUUAAUACCCGGGUAUUACCUUCAGGAAGCCCAAACACCCCAAAUAUUUUUUUUUCAUUUUUCAUUAUUUUUUGGUCUAACUAACUCCAAAAGGUUGGAAAAGAGUUCCUACAAAUGUUUUGGACAGUGAUUUAAACCCUAACGCCAAAACCUUAAACCUUACCCUAGCCCCAACUUUUAAUACCCGGGUAUUACCUUCAGGAAGCCAAAACACCCCAAAUAUAUUUUUUUUCAUUUUUCAUUUUUAUUUGGUCUAACUAACUCCAAAAGCUUGGAAAACAGUUCCUACAAAGGUUUUGGACAGUGAUUUAAACCCUAACGCCAAAACCUUAAACCUUACCCUAGCCCCAACUCUUAAUACCCGGGUAUUACCUUCAGGAAGCCCAAACACCCCAAAUAUUUUUUUUUCAUUUUUCAUUUUUAUUUGGUCUAACUAACUCCAAAAGGUUGGAAAAGAGUUCCUACAAAGGUUUUGGACAGUGAUUUUAACCCUAACGCCAAAAACCUUAAACCUUACCAUAGCCCCAAAACUUAUACCCGGGUAUUACCUUCAGGAAGCCCGAACACCCCAAAUAUUUUUUUUUUAUUUUUUAUUUUUAUUUGGUGUAACCAACUCCAAAAGGUCUGAAACAUGUUCCUAAAUAGGUUUUGGACAGUCAUUUUAACCCUAACGCCAAAAACCUUAAACCUUCCCCUAGCCCCAAAACCUAAUACCCGGGUAUUACCUUCAGGAAUCCCGAAAACCCCAAAUAUUUUUUUUUCAUUUUUCAUUAUUUUUUGGUCUAACUAACUCCAAAAGGUUGGAAAAGAGUUCCUACAAAUGUUUUGGACAGUGAUUUAAACCCUAACGCCAAAACCUUUAACCUUACCCUAGCCCCAAAUCUUAAUACCCGGGUAUUACCUUCAGGAAGCCCAAACACCCCAAAUAUUUUUUUUUCAUUUUUCAUUUUUAUUUGGUCUAACUAACUCCCAAAGGUUGGAAAACAGUUCCUACAAAGGUUUUGGACAGUGAUUUAAACCCUAACGCCAAAACCUUAAACUUUACCCUAGCCCCAACUCUUAAUACCCGGGUAUUACCUUCAGGAAGCCCAAACACCCCAAAUAUAUUUUUUUUCAUUUUUCAUUUUUAUUUGGUCUAACUAACUCCAAAAGGUUGGAAAAGAGUUCCUACAAAGGUUUUGGACAGUGAUUUUAACCCUAACGCCAAAAACCUUAAACCUUACCAUAGCCCCAAAACUAAUACCCGGGUAUUACCUUCAGGAAGCCCAAACACCCCAAAUAUUUUUUUUUUAUUUUUUAUUUUUAUUUGGUGUAACCAACUCCAAAAGGUCUGAAACAUGUUCCUAAAUAGGUUUUGGACAGUGAUUUUAACCCUAACGCCAAAAACCUUAAACCUUCCCCUAGCCCCAAAACCUAAUACCCGGGUAUUACCUUCAGGAAUCCCGAAAACCCCAAAUAUUUUUUUUUCAUUUUUCAUUUCUUUUUGGUCUAACUAACUCCCAAAGCUUGGAAAAUAGUUCCUACAAAGGUUUUGGACAGUGAUUUUAACCCUAACGCCAAAAACCUUAAACCUUACCCUAGCCCCAAAACCUAAUACCCGUGCAUUAUCUUCAGGAAGCCAAAACAAGCCAAAUAUUUUUUUUUCAUUUUUCAUUUUUAUUUGGUCUAACUAACUCCAAAUGGUUGGAAAAGAGUUCCUACAAAGGUUUUGGACAGUGAUUUUAACCCUAACGCCAAAAACCUUAAACCUUUCCCUAGCCCCAAAACCUAAUACCCAUGUAUUAUCUUCAGGAAGCCAAAACACCCCAAAUAUUUUUUUUUCAUUUUUCAUUUUUAUUUGGUCUAACUAACUCCAAAAGGUUGGAAAACAGUUCCUACAAAGGUUUUGGACAGUGAUUUAAACCCUAACGCCAAAACCUUAAACCUUAACCUAGCCCAAACUCUUAAUACCCGGGUAUUACCUUCAGGAAGCCCAAACACCCCAAAUAUAUAUUUUUUCAUUUUUAAUUUUUAUUUGGUCUAACUAACUCCAAAAGGUUGGAAAACAGUUCCUACAAAGGUUUUGGACAGUGAUUUAAACCCUAACGCCAAAACCUUAAACCUUACCCUAGCCCCAACUUUUAAUACCCGGGUAUUACCUUCAGGAAGCCCAAACACCCCAAAUAUAUUUUUUUUCAUUUUUCAUUUUUAUUUGGUCUAACUAACUCCAAAAGGUUGGAAAAGAGUUCCUACAAAGGUUUUGGACAGUGAUUUUAACCCUAACGCCAAAAACCUUAAACCUUACCAUAGCCCCAAAACUUAUACCCGGGUAUUACCUUCAGGAAGCCCGAACACCCCAAAUAUAUUUUUUUUAUUUUUUAUUUUUAUUUGGUGUAACCAACUCCAAAAGGUCUGAAACAUGUUCCUAAAUAGGUUUUGGACAGUCAUUUUAACCCUAACGCCAAAAACCUUAAACCUUCCCCUAGCCCCAAAACCUAAUACCCGGGUAUUACCUUCAGGAAUCCCGAAAACCCCAAAUAUUUUUUUUUCAUUUUUCAUUUCUUUUUGGUCUAACUAACUCCCAAAGCUUGGAAAAUAGUUCCUACAAAGGUUUUGGACAGUGAUUUUAACCCUAACGCCAAAAACCUUAAACCUUACCCUAGCCCCAAAUCUUAAUACCCGGGUAUUACCUUCAGGAAGCCCAAACACCCCAAAUAUUUUUUUUUCAUUUUUCAUUUUUAUUUGGUCUAACUAACUCCAAAUGGUUGGAAAAGAGUUCCUACAAAGGUUUUGGACAGUGAUUUUAACCCUAACGCCAAAAACCUUAAACCUUUCCCUAGCCCCAAAACCUAAUACCCAUGUAUUAUAUUCAGGAAGCCCGAACACCACAAAUAUUUUUUUUCAUUUUUCAUUUCUUUUUGGUCUAACUAACUCCAAAAGGUUGGAAAAGAGUUCCUACAAACGUUUUGGACAGUGAUUUAAACCCUAACGCCAAAACCUUAAACCUUACCCUAGCCCCAAAUCUUAAUACCCGGGUAUUACCUUCAGGAAGCCCGAAAACCCCAAAUAUUUUUUUUUCAUUUUUCAUUUUUAUUUGGUCUAACUAACUCCAAAAGGUUGGAAAACAGUUCCUACAAAGGUUUUGGACAGUGAUUUAAACCCUAACGCCAAAACCUUAAACCUUACCCUAGCCCCAACUCUUAAUACCCGGGUAUUACCUUCAGGAAGCCCAAACACCCCAAAUAUGUAUUUUUUCAUUUUUAAUUUUUAUUUGGUCUAACUAACUCCAAAAGGUUGGAAAACAGUUCCUACAAAGGUUUUGGACAGUGAUUUAAACCCUAACGCCAAAACCUUAAACCUUACCCUAGCCCCAACUCUUAAUACCCGGGUAUUACCUUCAGGAAGCCCAAACACCCCAAAUAUUUUUUUUUUCAUUUUUCAUUUUUAUUAGGUCUAACUAACUCCAAAAGGUUGGAAAAGAGUUCCUACAAAGGUUUUGGACAGUGAUUUUAACCCUAACGCCAAAAACCUUAAACCUUACCAUAGCCCCAAAACUUAUACCCGGGUAUUACCUUCAGGAAGCCCGAACACCCCAAAUAUUUUUUUUUUAUUUUUUUUUUUUAUUUGGUGUAACCAACUCCAAAAGGUCUGAAACAUGUUCCUAAAUAGGUUUUGGACAGUCAUUUUAACCCUAACGCCAAAAACCUUAAACCUUCCCCUAGCCCAAAACCUAAUACCCGGGUAUUACCUUCAGGAAUCCCGAAAACCCCAAAUAUUUUUUUUUCAUUUUUCUUUAUUUUUUGGUCUAACUAACUCCAAAAGGUUGGAAAAGAGUUCCUACAAAGGUUUUGGACAGUGAUUUUAACCCUAACGCCAAAAACCUUAAACCUUACCAUAGCCCCAAAACUUAUACCCGGGUAUUACCUUCAGGAAGCCCGAACACCCCAAAUAUAUUUUUUUUCAUUUUUCAUUUUUAUUUGGUCUAACUAACUCCAAAAGGUUGGAAAAGAGUUCCUACAAAGGUUUUGGACAGUGAUUUUAACCCUAACGCCAAAAACCUUAAACCUUACCAUAGCCCCAAAACUUAUACCCGGGUAUUACCUUCAGGAAGCCCGAACACCCCAAAUAUAUUUUUUUUAUUUUUUUUUUUUAUUUGGUGUAACCAACUCCAAAAGGUCUGAAACAUGUUCCUAAAUAGGUUUUGGACAGUGAUUUUAACCCUAACGCCAAAAACCUUAAACCUUCCCCUAGCCCCAAAACCUAAUACCCGGGUAUUACCUUCAGGAAUCCCGAAAACCCCAAAUAUUUUUUUUUCAUUUUUCAUUUCUUUUUGGUCUAACUAACUCCCAAAGCUUGGAAAAUAGUUCCUACAAAGGUUUUGGACAGUGAUUUUAACCCUAACGCCAAAAACCUUAAACCUUACCCUAGCCCCAAAACCUAAUACCCGUGCAUUAUCUUCAGGAAGCCAAAACAAGCCAAAUAUUUUUUUUUCAUUUUUCAUUUUUAUUUGGUCUAACUAACUCCAAAUGGUUGGAAAAGAGUUCCUACAAAGGUUUUGGACAGUGAUUUUAACCCUAACGCCAAAAACCUUAAACCUUUCCCUAGCCCCAAAACCUAAUACCCAUGUAUUAUCUUCAGGAAGCCCGAACACCACAAAUAUUUUUUUUUCAUUUUUCAUUUCUUUUUGGUCUAACUAACUCCAAAAGGUUGGAAAAGAGUUCCUACAAACGUUUUGGACAGUGAUUUAAACCCUAACGCCAAAACCUUAAACCUUACCCUAGCCCCAAAUCUUAAUACCCGGGUAUUACCUUCAGGAAGCCAAAACACCCCAAAUAUUUUUUUUUCAUUUUUCAUUUUUAUUUGGUCUAACUAACUCCAAAAGGUUGGAAAACAGUUCCUACAAAGGUUUUGGACAGUGAUUUAAACCCUAACGCCAAAACCUUAAACCUUAACCUAGCCCCAACUCUUAAUACCCGGGUAUUACCUUCAGGAAGCCCAAACACCCCAAAUAUAUAUUUUUUCAUUUUUAAUUUUUAUUUGGUCUAACUAACUCCAAAAGGUUGGAAAACAGUUCCUACAAAGGUUUUGGACAGUGAUUUAAACCCUAACGCCAAAACCUUAAACCUUACCCUAGCCCCAACUUUUAAUACCCGGGUAUUACCUUCAGGAAGCCAAAACACCCCAAAUAUUUUUUUUUUCAUUUUUCAUUUUUAUUUGGUCUAACUAACUCCAAAAGGUUGGAAAAGAGUUCCUACAAAGGUUUUGGACAGUGAUUUUAACCCUAACGCCAAAAACCUUAAACCUUACCAUAGCCCCAAAACUUAAUACCCGGGUAUUACCUUCAGGAAGCCCGAACACCCCAAAUAUUUUUUUAUUUUUUAUUUUUAUUUGGUGUAACCAACUCCAAAAGGUCUGAAACAUGUUCCUAAAUAGGUUUUGGACAGUCAUUUUAACCCUAACGCCAAAAACCUUAAACCUUACCCUAGCCCCAAAACCUAAUAUUAUUAAAGUAUUACCUUCAGGAAGCCCGAAAACCCCAAAUAUUUUUUUUUCAUCUUUCUUUUUUUUGGUCUAACUAACUCCAAAAGGUUGGAAAAUAGUUCCUACAAAGGUUUUGGACAGUGAUUUUAACCCUAACGCCAAAAACCUUAAACCUUCCCCUAGCCCCUAAACCUAAUACCUGGGUAUUACCUUCAGGAAGCCCAAACACCCCAAAUAUUUUUUUUUUAUUUUUUAUUUUUAUUUGGUGUAACCAACUCCAAAAGGUCUGAAACAUGUUCCUAAAUAGGUUUUGGACAGUCAUUUUAACCCUAACGCCAAAAACCUUAAACCUUCCCCUAGCCCCAAAACCUAAUACCCGGGUAUUACCUUCAGGAAUCCCGAAAACCCCAAAUAUUUUUUUUUCAUUUUUCAUUAUUUUUUGGUCUAACUAACUCCAAAAGGUUGGAAAAGAGUUCCUACAAAUGUUUUGGACAGUGAUUUAAACCCUAACGCCAAAACCUUUAACCUUACCCUAGCCCCAAAUCUUAAUACCCGGGUAUUACCUUCAGGAAGCCCAAACACCCCAAAUAUUUUUUUUUCAUUUUUCAUUUUUAUUUGGUCUAACUAACUCCCAAAGGUUAGAAAACAGUUCCUACAAAGGUUUUGGACAGUGAUUUAAACCCUAACGCCAAAACCUUAAACCUUACCCUAGCCCCAACUCUUAAAACCCGGGUAUUACCUUCAGGAAGCCCAAACACCCCAAAUAUAUUUUUUUUCAUUUUUCAUUUUUAUUUGGUGUAACUAACUCCAAAAGGUUGGAAAAGAGUUCCUACAAAGGUUUUGGACAGUGAUUUAAACCCUAACGCCAAAACCUUAAACCUUACCAUAGCCCCAAAACUUAUACCCGGGUAUUACCUUCAGGAGGCCCGAACACCCCAAAUAUAUUUUUUUUAUUUUUUAUUUUUAUUUGGUGUAACCAACUCCAAAAGGUCUGAAACAUGUUCCUAAAUAGGUUUUGGACAGUCAUUUUAACCCUAACGCCAAAAACCUUAAACCUUCCCCUAGCCCCAAAACCUAAUACCCGGGUAUUACCUUCAGGAAUCCCGAAAACCCCAAAUAUUUUUUUUUCAUUUUUCAUUUCUUUUUGGUCUAACUAACUCCCAAAGCUUGGAAAAUAGUUCCUACAAAGGUUUUGGACAGUGAUUUAAACCCUAACGCCAAAAACCUUAAACCUUACCCUAGCCCCAAAACCUAAUACCCGUGCAUUAUCUUCAGGAAGCCAAAACAAGCCAAAUAUUUUUUUUUCAUUUUUCAUUUUUAUUUGGUCUAACUAACUCCAAAUGGUUGGAAAAGAGUUCCUACAAAGGUUUUGGACAGUGAUUUUAACCCUAACGCCAAAAACCUUAAACCUUUCCCUAGCCCCAAAACCUAAUACCCAUGUAUUAUCUUCAGGAAGCCCGAACACCACAAAUAUUUUUUUUUCAUUUUUCAUUUCUUUUUGGUCUAACUAACUCCAAAAGGUUGGAAAAGAGUUCCUACAAACGUUUUGGACAGUGAUUUAAACCCUAACGCCAAAACCUUAAACCUUACCCUAGUCCCAAAUCUUAAUACCCGGGUAUAACCUUCAGGAAACCAAAACACCCCAAAUAUUUUUUUUUCAUUUUUCAUUUUUAUUUGGUCUAACUAACUCCAAAAGGUUGGAAAACAGUUCCUACAAAGGUUUUGGACAGUGAUUUAAACCCUAACGCCAAAACCUUAAACCUUAACCUACCCCCAACUCUUAAUACCCGGGUAUUACCUUCAGGAAGCCCAAACACCCCAAAUAUAUAUUUUUUCAUUUUUAAUUUUUAUUUGGUCUAACUAACUCCAAAAGGUUGGAAAACAGUUCCUACAAAGGUUUUGGACAGUGAUUUAAACCCUAACGCCAAAACCUUAAACCUUACCCUAGCCCCAACUCUUAAUACCCGGGUAUUACCUUCAGGAAGCCAAAACACCCCAAAUAUUUUUUUUUUUCAUUUUUCAUUUUUAUUUGGUCUAACUAACUCCAAAAGGUUGGAAAAGAGUUCCUACAAAGGUUUUGGACAGUGAUUUUAACCCUAACGCCAAAAACCUUAAACCUUACCAUAGCCCCAAAACUUAUACCCGGGUAUUACCUUCAGGAAGCCCGAACACCCCAAAUAUUUUUUUUUUAUUUUUUAUUUUUAUUUGGUGUAACCAACUCCAAAAGGUCUGAAACAUGUUCCUAAAUAGGUUUUGGACAGUCAUUUUAACCCUAACGCCAAAAACCUUAAACCUUACCCUAGCCCCAAAACCUAAUACCCGUGCAUUAUCUUCAGGAAGCCAAAACAAGCCAAAUAUUUUUUUUUCAUUUUUCAUUUUUAUUUGGUCUAACUAACUCCAAAUGGUUGGAAAAGAGUUCCUACAAAGGUUUUGGACAGUGAUUUUAACCCUAACGCCAAAAACCUUAAACCUUUCCCUAGCCCCAAAACCUAAUACCCAUGUAUUAUCUUCAGGAAGCCCGAACACCACAAAUAUUUUUUUUUCAUUUUUCAUUUCUUUUUGGUCUAACUAACUCCAAAAGCUUGGAAAAUAGUUCCUACAAACGUUUUGGACAGUGAUUUAAACCCUUACGCCAUAACCUUAAACCUUACCCCAGCCCCAAAUCUUAAUACCCGGGUAUUACCUUCAGGAAGCCCAAACACCCCAAAUAUUUUUUUUUCAUUUUUCAUUUCUUUUUGGUCUAACUAACUCCAAAAGGUUGGAAAACAGUUCCUGCAAACGUUUUGGACAGUGAUUUAAACCCUUUCGCCAAAACCUUAAACCUUACCCCAGCCCCAAAUAUUACCUUCAGGAAGCCCAAACACCCCAAAUAUUUUUUUUUCAUUUUUCAUUUUUAUUUGGUCUAACUAACUCCAAAAGCUUGGAAAAUAGUUCCUACAAACGUUUUGGACAGUGAUUUAAACCCUAACGCCAAAACCUUAAACCUUACCCCAGCCCCAAAUCUUAAUAACCGGGUAUUACCUUCAGGAAGCCCAAACACCCCAAAUAUUUUUUUUUCAUUUUUCAUUUUUAUUUGGUCUAACUAAAACCAAAUGGUUGGAAAAGAGUUCCUACAAAGGUUUUGGACAGUGAUUUUAACCCUAACGCCAAAAACCUUAAACCUUCCCCUAGCCCCAAAACCUAAUACCCGGGUAUUACCUUCAGGAAGCCCGAAAACCCCAAAUAUUUUUUUUUCAUUUUUCAUUUCUUUUUGGUCUAACUAACUCCCAAAGCUUGGAAAAUAGUUCCUACAAAGUUUUUGGACAGUGAUUUUAACCCUAACGCCAAAAACCUUAAACCUUACCCUAGCCCCAAAACCUAAUACCCGUGCAUUAUCUUCAGGAAGCCCAAACAAGCCAAAUAUCUUUUUUUCAUUUUUCAUUUUUAUUUGGUCUAACUAACUCCAAAUGGUUGGAAAAGAGUUCCUACAAAGGUUUUGGACAGUGAUUUUAACCCUAACGCCAAAAACCUUAAACCUUUCCCUAGCCCCAAAACCUAAUACCCGUGUAUUACCUUCAGGAAGCCCAAACACCCCAAAUAUUUUUUUUUCAUUUUUCAUUUUUAUUUGGUCUAACUAACUCCCAAAGGUUGGAAAACAGUUCCUACAAAGGUUUUGGACAGUGAUUUAAACCCUAACGCCAAAACCUUAAACCUUACCCUAGCCCCAACUCUUAAUACCUGUGCAUUAUCUUCAGGAAGCCCAAACACCCCAAAUAUUUUUUUUUUCAUUUUUCAUUUUUAUUUGGUCUAACUAACUCCAAAAGGUUGGAAAAGAGUUCCUACAAAGGUUUUGGACAGUGAUUUUAACCCUAACGCCAAAAACCUUAAACCUUACCAUCGCCCCAAAACUCCUGGGUAUUACCUUCAGGAAGCCUGAACACCCCAAAUAUUUUUUUUCAAUUUUUUUAUUUCAUUUGGUGUAACCAACUCCAAAAGGUCUGAAACAUGUUCCUAAAUAGGUUUUGGACAGUCAUUUUAACCCUAACGCCAAAAACCUAAAACCUUCCCCUAGCCCCAAAACCUAAUACCCGGGUAUUACCUUCAGGAAGCCCGAAAACCCCAAAUAUUUUUUUUUCAUUUUUCAUUUCUUUUUGGUCUAACUAACUCCCAAAGCUUGGAAAAUAGUUCCUACAAAGGUUUUGGACAGUGAUUUUAACCCUAACGCCAAAAACCUUAAACCUUACCCUAGCCCCAAAACCUAAUACCCGUGCAUUAUCUUCAGGAAGCCAAAACAAGCAAAAUAUUUUUUUUUCAUUUUUCAUUUUUAUUUGGUCUAACUAACUCCAAAUGGUUGGAAAAGAGUUCCUACAAAGGUUUUGGACAGUGAUUUUAACCCUAACGCCAAAAACCUUAAACCUUUCCCUAGCCCCAAAAUCUAAUACCCGUGUAUUAUCUUCAGGAAGCCCGAACACCACAAAUAUUUUUUUUUCAUUUUUCAUUUCUUUUUGGUCUAACUAACUCCAAAAGCUUGGAAAAUAGUUCCUACAAACGUUUUGGACAGUGAUUUAAAUCCUAACGCCAAAACCUUAAACCUUACCCUAGCACCAAAUCUUAAUACCCAGGUAUUACCUUCAGGAAGCCCAAACACCCCAAAUAUUUUUUUUUCAUUUUUCAUUUUUAAUUUGGUCUAACUAACUCCAAAAGGUUGGAAAACAGUUCCUACAAAGGUUUUGGACAGUGAUUUAAACCCUAACGCCAAAACCUUAAACCUUACCCUAGCCCCAAGUCUUAAUACCCGGGUAUUACCUUCAGGAAGCCCCAACACCCCAAAUAUAUUUUUUUUCAUUUUUCAUUUUUAUUUGGUCUAACUCCAAAAGGUUGGAAAAGAGAUCCUACAAAGGUUUUGGACAGUGAUUUUAACCCUAACGCCCAAAACCUUAAACCUUACCAUAGCCCCAUAACCUAAUACCCGGGUAUUACCUUCAGGAAGCCCGAACACCCCAAAUAUUUUUUUUUCAUUUUUCUUUUUUUUUGGUCUAACUAACUCCAAAAGCUUGGAAAAGAGAUCCUACAAAGGUUUUGGACAGUGAUUUUAACCCUAACGCCAAAAACCUUAAACCUUACCAUAGCCCCAUAACCUAAUACCCGUGCA